AACGUAGGACACAAGCGUUAUCCGGAAUUACUGGGCGUAAAGGGAGUGCAGGCGGUUGCGUAAGUUAGGCGUGAAAGACUUCGGCUAAACCGGGGGAGGUCGUCUGAUACUGCGUAACUAGAGUGUGGUAGAGGCGUGUAGAAUUCCGGGUGUAGUGGUGAAAUGCGCAGAUAUCAGGAAGAACACCCGUGGCUAAGGCGGUUCUCUAGUACGGUACUGACGCUGAGACGCGAAAGCGUGGGGAGCGAACAGG
rnacentral:rRNA from 1 species